CUCUUUGCUGACUGUGGGCCUACCAUAGGAACAACUAUCUGUGAUGUUGCUCCACCUAUUUCCUGACUUCUGUCUCAGUCUCUUCCUAUGUUUUCAAGGAGCAAGACUAGCAUCACAAGCGUGAGUUUUGGAGUCAAAGGUCAGAAGUUGUCCUGUCUGAGGACAAGAGCUGCACCAGAUGACUUCUCAAGAUCCCUUUGACCCUUAUGAUUGUCUACUGGCAUAAAUAUAAGGGACACUUUUUUACCCUUGUAAAUUUUCUCUGGGGUCCUGAAGAAGAAAUAAAUUGUAUACAUACCUAUAGAAGAUGGUAUGUCUUUCCACAUUUCAAGGAUCUUCUUGAAGAGUUGUUCAUUUGCUUCCACAGAGAGGGCUUCAGCAUUGAAGGUGAGCAUCAUGCCAAUUCCCAAGCAAUCAGGUAAAAUGAUGAUAUUCUGUGGUAUAAUGAUUUCCAGGGGCUGGAAUUAUGUUUCAUAAAGAUUUAUAUGUCCAAUAUUUUAUCACUACUACUUUAAUCGAAGCAGCUUGGCAGAGCAAUAAAGACCAAAAGAGGUUCAAAGAGCAAGGAGGAAGAGAAACCUCUAUUUCCAAAGUAAUAAGCAUGCUAUCCAAUAUUUGAAGAGAGCUGCUUUCUUUAUGUCAUAAAUUCAUAACUGUUAAAUAUUCUUCUUUAUAAUUAGGAGAAAGCCUUAUUUUAAAAAAGCAAAGAUGUAUUUCCAACACAAAGAGAUUUCUUGACAUUUCACAAAUUAUUAUGUAUCAUAAUAGAAGAAACACUACUUGUUAUAGACUUGGGUUUAAGAUAACACAUUAAUAAAUACUUUAGUAAUUAAUGUACAAAUCAAAUAACAAAUAUACAAUACUUGCUUAUCAGCCAACUCACUCAAAUUAGAAAUAGAAAACUAAUCUAAAAAAUAGCUUAAGCUUAAAAUGUUUACAAGGGACAGCUUUAUAAUAGUCUUCACAGCUUGAAAUAUAACUUUAAGUCAUUUCCCCCUUUGCAAAAAAGUUAGAAUUUCUUUUCCAAUUAAUAUAAUUUCAAAUGCACUUAAGAUACACAUUCAAAGACAUAUUUGGUGACAUAAUAUGAAAAACUAAGAAAUAUCUAAGCAUUUCUAAAUUUCAUGAUGCAUAAAACAAUGCAAUAAAGUUUUCUUAAACUACAGAUAUUGUCACAUUAACAGUAUUUCCCUACAAAUGAAAAAUUGUGUUCCUCUAUGGUUUCUUCAAACUAGCACAUUAAAAAAAAAAAAAAGUCAGAAACUAUACUUGCCAAACCCAGCGUACUCAGGCCAGGUGCUUGAGGCCAUGUCCCAGCAACAACAAUCCUUAUAACUAAAAUGGGGAUCCAGAGACGAAAAGCAAUUUUAAUGCGUUCCCUGGGCACUUGCAUGAGCAAUUGAAUCAGAAAAAAAAGAUAAAGGAAGAGAGUAAAAGAAAUUGCAGGAAAGAAGGUUGUCUUAAUAAAAUCUGUUUAGAAAAAAACUGGACUGCUGCAAAUCCAUACAGCCUCAGAUGCUUCUCAGAUGAUUCCUGAAGUAACUAGAUAUUCUUUAGCACACAUGGUUCCCUUGUAUCAUUACAGCUUUUGUAAUCUAGCACUCUUGGAAAAAUAGUAUUUUUAUUAUAUUCUUUCUCAGAAGACACCCCCCUCCCUGAUAUUAGAGUCCUUUCUCUUUAAAUGGGUCAAGACACUAGAGUAUUUAGCUAAAAAUAUUUUUGAAUAUACACAAGGUAUCCUAAUUGGGUCAGAAAGUGAUUUUUAAGAACUCAUCUCUAACUAACAAAUUGCUUCAAAAGGAAAUAACUUUCCUUGCUUAUUAAUCAUGUGAAACACGCGGGUCAACAUUCCUGAAUUACUUUUCAAAUAAGUGUAAACAUGGACCAAUGCUGCAAAGUUCAAUACUGCACUAGCUUCUUAAUAAAAGCUAUCUGACGCAACAUUUAAAAAAAAAAGAGAGAUGCAGGAAGCUACGGAAGACACUCCAACUGAAGAGUACAACAAUAGCUAUAUCAAAAUUAACUUGACCUCACGUUUAAGUGGCUUUGGCUAAGAUUGGUUCAGUAUUUUAUACAUUAUCAACAGUGUGAUUUCUAUAUAAUCAUGGGCAACAACUGAGUAAUAAGCUAAUUAUCUUUAAUAUGACCAAAAGAGUUUUACAAAAUUGUCCCCACUAAUGUCCUGACAAUUGGUUUAUGUAAUUUGUUAGAGACAUAUGAGACAAUUCUGAGAGCUGUUCAAAAUAUCACACAACUGUAGUAAUUUGAAAAUACAUCAAAGUUUUCUCCUGGACUUUUUGUAUAAUGCUAAACUGCUAAAACUUUGGUUGUCUAAAAAUUGGGAAUUUAAAUAUAGUGAAGCAGAGAACUGUUGGUUUAGGCCUUCCUUUUAAAUAAAAAUUUCAAUAGGACAAACAUCAUUGCCAACAUCAAAUUUGAGACACAGUAGAAUUAUAUUUUGUAUGGUGUGUGUGAGGGAUAUUACAUUAUGUUCAAACUCUUUAUGUAAAUGAUGUGUAUAAUAUUUUUAUGACAAUCUAUAUUUUAGAUGUUGCACCGUAUUUC